CUUUUAACAAGUUACUAUACUCCUAUGAACAAAAUUUGGAGCAUAUUUGUUUCUCUCUACCUGAUUUCUCCAGAAUUUGGAAACUACUUGAAUCAAACUGGACUUAAAGAGCAAAUAAAAGUCCCUUGGGAAAACUGGCCUCAUACCUUGUCUACACAGUUUCUGUACAGGGUUCCUGACUUGUGGAAUCCUAAGCCACCUUGAGGCAAAGGAAUGACUUCCAUGGAAUACAGAUGAAGUUGGUAAAAGGAAAUACAAAGGAGAAAAAGUACAUUUGUACUGUUUUAUGACUAUUACUGUGAUACACUGGUAAUCCUAUGAUGAUGGAAGGAACAAAUAAAUGUCUCAGGAUCUUGAUCUUCCGAUAAU